AUGCACGCUGGCGGCGUGCCUCAUACAUGCCAGUCGAGCGAACAGACGAGGAGCUUGCUCCUCUGACGUUAGCGGCGGACGGGUGAGUAACACGUGGAUAACCUACCUAUAACACUGGGAUAACUUCGGGAAACCGGAGCUAAUUCCGGAUAAUAUAUUGAACCGCAUGGUUCAAUAGUGAAAGACGGUUUUGCUGUCACUUAUAGAUGGAUCCGCGCCGCAUUAGCUAGUUGGUAAGGUAACGGCUUACCAAGGCAACGAUGCGUAGCCGACCUGAGAGGGUGAUCGGCCACACUGGAACUGAGACACGGUCCAGACUCCUACGGGAGGCAGCAGUAGGGAAUCUUCCGCAAUGGGCGAAAGCCUGACGGAGCAACGCCGCGUGAGUGAUGAAGGUCUUCGGAUCGUAAAACUCUGUUAUUAGGGAAGAACAAAUGUGUAAGUAACUAUGCACGUCUUGACGGUACCUAAUCAGAAAGCCACGGCUAACUACGUG
rnacentral:rRNA from 1 species